rnacentral:rRNA from 2 species
UCCUUUAACGAGGAUCAACUGGAGGGCAAGUCUGGUGCCAGCAGCCGCGGUAACUCCAGCUCCAGAAGCGUAUAUUAAAGUUGUUGCAGUUAAAAAGCUCGUAGUUGGAUCUGGGUCGCAUGGCUACGUGCCGUAGCUUGUAUUCUCGGCUUGGCUACGGUUUGGUCGGGUUUGUGAGUCGGUUUCGUGGCUGUGUAGCCUUUCUGCCGUGUCUGUUUCGACAGGUGCUGAUGGUUCUUCCGUUGGCAUGCUUCCGAAUGCCUUUAACCGGGUGUCGGGGGCGGACGGCACGUUUACUUUGAACAAAUUUGAGUGCUCAAAGCAGGCCUAUGCCUGAAAAUUCUUGCAUGGAAUAAUGGAAUAGGACUUCGGUUCUAUUUUGUUGGUUUUCGGAUCCGAAGUAAUGGUUAAGAGGGACAGACGGGGGCAUUUGUAUGGCGGUGUUAGAGGUGAA